AUCCUGGCUCAGGAUGAACGCUUAGCGGGAGGCCUAAUACAUGCAAGUCGAACGGUAACAGGUAGCAAUACGCUGACGAGUGGCGCACGGGUGCGUAACGCGUACACAAUCUGCCUUAUACUGGGGCAUAGCCUUUGGAAACGAAGAAUAAUUCCCCAUAAUAUAUAGAAGAGGCAUCUCUUUCAUAUUAAAGCUCAGGCGGUAUAAGAUGAGUGUGCGUCCGAUUAGGUAGUUGGUGAGGUAACGGCUCACCAAGCCAACGAUCGGUAGCUGGUCUGAGAGGAUGAUCAGCCACACGGGCACUGAGACACGGGCCCGACUCCUACAGGAGGCAGCAGUAGGGAAUAUUGGACAAUGGGCGCAAGCCUGAUCCAGCCAUCCCGCGUGAAGGAUGAAGGUCCUCUGGAUUGUAAACUUCUUUUCUUCGGGAAUAAAAACUGGGGUUCUCCUCAGCUUGAAGGUACCGAAGGAAUAAGCACCGGCUAACUCCGUG
rnacentral:rRNA from 1 species